UACGUAGGGACCAAGCGUUGUUCGGAUUUACUGGGCGUAAAGGGCGCGUAGGCGGCAUAUUAAGUCAGCUGUGAAAUCUCCGAGCUUAACUCGGAACUGUCAGCUGAUACUGAUGUGCUAGAGUGCAGAAGGGGCAAUCGGAAUUCUUGGUGUAGCGGUGAAAUGCGUAGAUAUCUGGAGGAACACCGGUGGCGAAGGCGGCAUCCUGGACCGAUACUGACGCUGAGGAGCGAAAGCCAGGGGAGCAAACGGG
rnacentral:rRNA from 1 species